rnacentral:rRNA from 1 species
UGUGAGCGAUUCAUUUCGUUCGUGCCGGAGCUAACGCGUUAAGUAUGCCGCCUGGGGAGUACGGUCGCCAAGGCUGAAACUCAAAGGAAUUGACCGGGGGCCCGCACAAGCGGUGGAGCAUGUGGUUCAAUUCGACGCAACGCGAAGAACCUUACCUGGGCUCGAACGGCUAUGGACAAUCUUUGGAAACAGGGACUUCUCGCAAGAGACUGUAGUCGAGGUGCUGCAUGGCUGUCGUCAGCUCGUGUCGUGAGAUGUUGGGUUAAGUCCCGCAACGAGCGCAACCCUUGUCCUGUGUUGCCAUCAUUUAGUUGGGCACUCUCAGGAGACCGCCAGCGAUAAGCUGGAGGAAGGUGGGGAUGAUGUCAAGUCAUCGUGGCCUUUAUGUCCCAGGGCUACACACGUGCUACAAUGGCCGGUACAAAGCGCUGCAAACUCGCCAAGAGGGAGCUAAUCGCAAAAAACCGGUCUCAGUUCGGAUCGCAGGCUGCAACUCGCCUGCGUGAAGCUGGAAUCGCUAGUAAUGCCGUAUCAGAACGAUGGCGUGAAUACGUUCCCGGGCCUUGUACACACCGCCCGUCACAUCACGAAAGUGGAUUGUACUAGAAGUCCUAAUCAAACAGGCCCAAGGUAUGAUUCAUGAUUGGGGUGAAGUCGUAACCAAGGUACC